rnacentral:rRNA from 1 species
GAUCCUGGCUCAGGAUGAACGCUAGCUACAGGCUUAACACAUGCAAGUCGAGGGGAAACGAUAUUGGAAGCUUGCUUCCGAUAGGCGUCGACCGGCGCACGGGUGAGUAACACGUAUCCAACCUCCCGCAUACUCGGGAAUAGCCUUUCGAAAGAAAGAUUAAUGCCCGAUGGUUUCAAGGGAUUGCAUGGUAUCUUGAAUAAAGAUUCAUCGGUAUGCGAUGGGGAUGCGUUCCAUUAGG